CAGCCGCCGCGGGAAUACGAAGGGUGCAAGCGUUAAUCGGAAUUACUGGGCGUAAAGCGUGCGUAGGCGGUGAGUUAAGUCUGCUGUGAAAUCCCCGGGCUCAACCUGGGAAUGGCAGUGGAUACUGGCUCGCUAGAGUGUGUCAGAGGAUGGUGGAAUUCCCAGUGUAGCGGUGAAAUGCGUAGAGAUCGGGAGGAACAUCAGUGGCGAAGGCGGCCAUCUGGGACAACACUGACGCUGAGGCACGAAAGCGUGGGGAGCAAACAGGAUUAGAUACCCCCGUAGUCCCUGUCUCUUAUAC
rnacentral:rRNA from 1 species